rnacentral:rRNA from 3 species
UGGGGAAUAUUGCACAAUGGAGGGAACUCUGAUGCAGCGACGCCGCGUGAACGAAGAAGGCUUUCGAGUCGUAAAGUUCUUUUAUAUGGGAAGAUAAUGACGGUACCAUAAGAAAAAGCCCCGGCUAACUACGUGCCAGCAGCCGCGGUAAUACGUAGGGGGCUAGCGUUGUCCGGAAUCACUGGGCGUAAAGGGUUCGCAGGCGGAAAUGCAAGUCAGGUGUAAAAGGCAGUAGCUUAACUACUGUAAGCAUUUGAAACUGCAUAUCUUGAGAAGAGUAGAGGUAAGUGGAAUUUUUAGUGUAGCGGUGAAAUGCGUAGAUAUUAAAAAGAAUACCGGCGGCGAAGGCGACUUACUGGGCUCAUUCUGACGCUGAGGAACGAAAGCGUGGGUAGCAAACAGG